AUUGAACGCUGGCGGCAGGCCUAACACAUGCAAGUCGAGCGGAUGAAGGCAUCUUGCUCCUGGAUUCAGCGGCGGACGGGUGAGUAAUGCCUAGGAAUCUGCCUGGCUGUGGGGGAUAACGUCCUGAAACGGGCGCUAAUACCGCAUACGGCCUGAGGGAGAAAGUGGGGGAUCUUCGGACCUCACGCUAUCAGAUGAGCCUAGGUCGGAUUAGCUAGUUGGGGGGGUGAGGGCCUACCAAGGCGGCGAUCCGUAACUGGUCUGAGAGGAUGAUCAGUCACACUGGAACUGAGACACGGUCCAGACUCCUACGGGAGGGAGCAGUGGGGAAUAUUGGACAAUGGGCGAAAGCCUGAUCCAGCCAUGCCGCGUGUGUGAAGAAGGUCUUCGGAUUGUAAAGCACUUUAAGUUGGGAGGAAGGGCAGUAAGUUAAUACCUUGCUGUUUUGACGUUACCAACAGAAGAAGCACCGGCUAACUACGUG
rnacentral:rRNA from 1 species